rnacentral:lncRNA from 1 species
GCGAAGCCUACGCGACCACCGCGACGACAGCGCCAUUCACCCCGGGCCAGGCGGGCAUCCUGGGCCGCGCAGCUACCUUACGUCAGCCGCCUCUCAAAUCACACGGCUCUGGCCAGUUCUUUUCAGCAGCUUUAUGAGAUUUUCUCAAAUCUCAACAAUCCGGUAUAUUUUCAAAAGUACAUACUGAGCAUCAAGGUGGUGCAGCGAACCUCCCAGAUCUGCAGCUCCAGCAGUCUUGCUUGAGCGUCCACUCAGGAUGGAGGUGAACUCGCAAAGUAACUGAGAUUGGUUGGGCAUGACAUAUGGUGGAUCUAGGGUUGAAUGACCUCCCCAGGGAACGCAGGCUUGAAGUGGAGGCUGAGAAUGCAAUCCGAGUACAGCCAUAGGCCGGUCAAAGGGUCUUGCUGUGUCACCCAGGCUUAGUGCAGUGGCGUGGCGUGUUCAUGGCUUACUGCAACCUCAAACUCCUGGACUCCGAACAGCUGGGACCAAAAGCAUGCACAGCCUCACCAGGCUAAUUUUUAAUUUUUUUUUUUUUUUUUUGUAAAGAUGGGGUCUUGCUAAGUUACCCAGGCUAGUUUGGCCUCAAGCGACCCUCUCACUUUGGCCUCCCAAAGUGCUAGGAUUAUAGGCGGAGCGCCAGUGCCUGGCUGGGACGUUUAUAAAAAGGAGCAAUGCACAAGAGGCAACAAAGGCAAGUAAAGAGGAGGCUGGUGGGCUUGCAGAAACGCCCUGCAGUACCUAUGCUGCGGUUCUCCCACUUCACUGAUAACAAAUCCUCAGUAUCCACUGAUACAAAUCCUGGGACUGCUGGGCCAGUCCCAGGAAUGACACUGGGACAGACUCCCUGGAGGUGGAUCAGAAAGCUGCAGUUUUACCAGGGGUCCUGCUGUUGAGGCAGCCGGCUCAAGGACCAAGCCCAAAUAAGACACUGAGAGGAAGGCUGCAGGCCAGGGUGCAGGAGUAAUGACCAGGAUCAGUGCUCCAACUGGCCCCACUGUGUCAUUAAAAGGCUCUGCAAUGGAAUCCAUCCUGGUCCAGGCAGGGGAGUGUGCCUCCAGCAAAGGACCAGGCGUUUCACUGCAUACACAGCAGGUGUUGCUUAGUGAAGACAAAAACCCAGAGCCAGAGGUACUGUAACAUUCUUCAUUAUGCAUAAAGUGACAGUCUGUUAGCUGAUGUGAUCCUGCAAAUGAAGGCUGUCUACCCACCAAGGGUUUCUCCCUCUGCUAGUAAAACUGAGACUUUGUCAGUGGAGGCUCAGGAGAAGCCCCAGAGGGACACUUUUCUAAUGGUGAGAUGGAACACGGAGCACCUGCCAACAGGCCUUCAGUUAUGGUCAGAGGCCCAACCACCAGUCUGUGUUAGUACCUAAUCAAACAUUUAGAUUUAGGCUUUAGUUAUUGCCUGUUUUUACUUGAAAUUCUUGGCUUAGAAUUAUUCCCAAUGGGGCCAGGCACAGUGGCUCAUGGGAACAAAUUUAAAAUAAUCAGAUUAGCAUGUCAAAAGAUCUCACGUUAUAGAAAGUGAAGAUCUAAGACCAAAUAAAUACUGAUAAAAAAUACAGGCCAGCAGAAGCUUGGAUGAUUUAAUAAAUUAAAAUUGGGAGUUGGGGAGUAGGGAAGAAGGAGAGGAACAUCUCUUUAGCAUUUGUUCAUUCUAACAUUCACAUGUU